UUGUCUUUCCCUCCCUUCGGGGUGGGAUUACAAAAGAUAACAGAUCUUUCAUGAUCAUGUGAUGGGUGGUGCAUGGCCGUUCUUAGUUCGUGGAGUGAUCUGUCUGCUUAAUUGCGUUUCAAAUUUUAUAUUUGUUAACAUGCGAGUCUUCAAUGACGGCCACUCCACCUUAUAGACAUUAUAUGAUAUGCACAUUUGUGUAUUUGAUUAUAACUUGUCUGGAGUCUGGCUCGAUUUUUUUGACUCAAUUGAACGCAACGGACGUGAUUGCAAGUCCUUGUUGAACAAAUUAUAUAUAUACUACUUCAUCAUUAGUAUAUAUAGUUCGCUUCUCAUGUCGUAGCAGUCAAACGGGCGGGCGUCUUAAUUGGCGCGGUCACGAGGCUUAAUAUGCUGCGGCUGGGAAAACUUGGGCGACCGCUGUAAUACUUCUCUCUUAAACCAGAGGAAGAUUGCGGCAAUAACAGGUCUGUGAU
rnacentral:rRNA from 1 species